rnacentral:rRNA from 1 species
UACGUAGGUGGCGAGCGUUGUCCGGAUUUACUGGGCGUAAAGCGCGCGCAGGCGGUUCUGUAAGUCCUGGGUGAAAUCGCCCGGCUCAACUGGGCGGGGGCCUGGGGGACUGCGGGACUGGAGGGGCCUAGAGGCCGGUGGAACUCCCGGUGUAGUGGUGAAAUGCGUAGAGAUCGGGAAGAACACCAGUGGCGAAGGCGGCCGGCUGGGGGCGCCCUGACGCUGAGGCGCGAGAGCGUGGGGAACGAACCGG